rnacentral:rRNA from 1 species
GAUGAACGCUAGCGGCAGGCUUAAUACAUGCACGUCGAGGGGCAGCACAGGUAGCAAUACUGGGUGGCGACCGGCAAACGGGUGCGGAACCCGUACACAACUUACCUUCUGGUGGGGCAUAGCCUUUGGAAACGGAGAUUAAUACCCCAUAUUAUAUAUGAGCUGCACGGUUUGUAUAUUAAAGAUUUAUCGCCGGAAGAUGGGUGUGAGUAGGAUUAGGUAGUUGGCGGGGUAACGGCCCACCAAGCCGACGAUCAUUAACUGGUGUGAGAGCACGACCAGUCACACGGGCACUGAGACACGGGCCCGACUCCUACGGGAGGCAGCAGUAAGGAAUAUUGGUCAAUGGACGGAAGUCUGAACCAGCCAUGCCGCGUGGAGGAUGAAGGUCCUCUGGAUUGUAAACUUCUUUUAUAGGGGGCGAAAAAAGGGAAUUCUUUCUCGUCUGACGGUACCCUAUGAAUAAGCACCGGCUAACUCCGUACCAGCCGCCGCCGUAAUAC